rnacentral:rRNA from 1 species
UACGUAGGUGGCAAGCGUUGUUCGGAAUUAUUGGGCGUAAAGGGCGCGUAGGCGGUUUGUUAAGUCAGCUGUGAAAGCCCGGGGCUCAACCCCGGAGGGUCAGCUGAUACUGGCAGACUAGAGUACAGAAGAGGUAACUGGAAUUCCCGGUGUAGCGGUGAAAUGCGUAGAUAUCGGGAGGAACGCCUGAGGCGAAGGCGGGUUACUGGGCUGAUACUGACGCUGAGGCGCGAAAGCCAGGGGAGCAAACGGG